rnacentral:lncRNA from 1 species
GCGGCGUCGCGGAGCUCGGGCCGGUGGAAGGUUUACCUGCUAGGCUCGUCCCACCUGUGUGGAGCUCCCAUCGCCCUCCAGCGUUGCGCAGCCUGAAGGGACAGGACGGACAAGCGGGUGCCUCCUUCUAAUUCAUCUUCACCAUUGUGGUUGUCAAUAUGGCAUGCAGAAUUAUCCCUCUUUCCAGCUUCUGGAGUCUACCUGGAUUCCUGGGCUCAUGGCCCCUUCCUCCAUCUUCAAACCAGCAAUGCUAAAUCCAACUGGAAGCCUGAGAUUCAGGGAACCCACUACUGCAGUCCAUAAGGAUCAGCCUCCCUUGGCACAGAAGAGGAUGGGGAAAGGUGGAGCCUGUAUAGCUAGAUGAGCAAACCAAAAACUUCCAGCACGUACUGAUGGAGCUGAGCCUGACACUCUAACCGGUUCUCUGGGUGUACUGCAAAGGUCUAAUAAAAGGCACCUUUGCCCGGUUGCUUCAAUUCUAGGAAGCUGUUCAAUGUUUGACUAUAUUUCUCCAUACUCAUUUGAAAACAGUUCAUCAGGUUAGUUCAGUUGAAUUAUUGCUCCUUGGGAGUUUUCCAAACCCUGGAUUUCCUUCGGAGAGAGCUAGAUUCUAUUCCAUUCUUGGAAUUCAGCUCCUUGCCCUUCUCUGUGACCCCGGAUCGCGAAUGCAGUAAAAAUAAAAAUAUCCUGCUGCCUCCUGCACUAAGAAA